rnacentral:rRNA from 1 species
UACGUAGGGUGCGAGCGUUAAUCGGAAUUACUGGGCGUAAAGCGUGCGCAGGCGGUUUUGUAAGCCAGAUGUGAAAUCCCCAGGCUCAACCUGGGAACUGCGUCUGAUACUGGAUGGCUUGAAUCCGGGAGAGGGAUGCAGAAUUCCAGGUGUAGCGGUGAAAUGCGUAGAUAUCUGGAGGAAUACCGGUGGCGAAGGCGGCAUCCUGGACCGGCAUUGACGCUGAGGAGCGAAAGCCAGGGGAGCAAACGGG